CGAACGGGUGAGUAACGCGUGAGGAACCUGCCUCAAAGAGGGGGACAACAGUUGGGAACGACUGCUAACACCGCAUAAGCCCACGGCUCGGCAUCGAGCAGAGGGAAAAGGAGCAAUCCGCUUUGAGAUGGCCUCGCGUCCGAUUAGCUAGUUGGUGAGGUAACGGCCCACCAAGGCGACGAUCGGUAGCCGGACUGAGAGGUUGAACGGCCACAUUGGGACUGAGACACGGCCCAG
rnacentral:rRNA from 1 species